GAUGAACGCUGGCGGCGUGCCUAAUACAUGCAAGUCGAGCGAACGGACGAGAAGCUUGCGUCUCUGAUGUUAGCGGCGGACGGGUGAGUAACACGUGGAUAACCUACCUAUAAGACUGGGAUAACUUCGGGAAACCGGAGCUAAUACCGGAUAAUAUUUUGAACCGCAUGGGUCAAAAGUAAAAGACGGUCUUGCUGGCACUUAUAGAUGGAUCCGCGCUGCAUUAGCCAGUUGGUAAGGUAACGGCUUACCAAGGCAACGAUGCAUAGCCGACCUGAGAGGGUGAUCGGCCACACUGGAACUGAGACACGGUCCAGACUCCUACGGGAGGCAGCAGUAGGGAAUCUUCCGCAAUGGGCGAAAGCCUGACGGAGCAACGCCGCGUGAGUGAUGAAGGUCUUCGGAUCGUAAAACUCUGUUAUUAGGGAAGAACAUAUGUGUAAGUAACUGUGCACAUCUUGACGGUACCUAAUCAGAAAGCCACGGCUAACUACGUG
rnacentral:rRNA from 1 species